CGGAAAGAUGACGCGAACACCACUACUGAGUAAAAUUCGGUAGAGAACGAGUAAAUAGCGUCGUUUAGUGUAAGCACAAAACUGACAAUAUUAGCGUGUUGUAUAUUUUACUGUUAAUGACCUUUGAAAGGUUUUUUGUUGAUUUUUCUUUUUUUAUUUUGUUUUAUAAAAUCUUAAUUCAUUGAGUAUUUUAUUUCAAUUUUAUACUGAAAAAUCUC
rnacentral:lncRNA from 1 species